rnacentral:rRNA from 1 species
UGGGGAAUUUUGGACAAUGGGGGAAACCCUGAUCCAGCCAUGCCGCGUGUGUGAAGAAGGCCUUCGGGUUGUAAAGCACUUUCGGACGGAACGAAAUCGCGCGGGUUAACAGCCCGCGUGGAUGACGGUACCGUAAGAAGAAGCACCGGCUAACUACGUGCCAGCAGCCGCGGUAAUACGUAGGGUGCGAGCGUUAAUCGGAAUUACUGGGCGUAAAGCGUGCGCAGGCGGCGCCGCAAGUCGAGUGUGAAAUCCCCGAGCUUAACUUGGGAAUUGCGCUCGAAACUACGGUGCUGGAGUGUGGCAGAGGGAGGUGGAAUUCCACGUGUAGCGGUGAAAUGCGUAGAGAUGUGGAGGAACACCGAUGGCGAAGGCAGCCUCCUGGGCCAACACUGACGCUCAUGCACGAAAGCGUGGGGAGCAAACAGGAUUAGAUACCCUGGUAGUCCACGCCCUAAACGAUGAUGACUAGUUGUUGGGGGAGUUAAA